rnacentral:rRNA from 1 species
AUGUACAACUACUCGCCGCCGGCAUACACAGACUCCCCGACGCAACCUCUAUGCCGUGGCGCCCUGCCAUUCUCGCAAGCCUCGUCGUCACAUUUCGGCAACCCCGACGUGACGGAAGCUGACAUGGACGAGAUCAUCACGAGCGGCUCGGUCACCGCCGCCUCCUCCCCCGGGUUCCAUGCGCAACACAACACAAUGGACCCCGUCGGCGACAUGGACGACGAGCUCGACGACAGCGAGGAGGAGGAGGAAGAGGAGGAGGAGAUGGAGCCGGCGCCGGCGAGGAAAGGGAAAAAGAAGAAGCGGGGGGGGGGGGCAGGACGGGCGAGCCGUGCGUCAAGUGGACGUCCGAAGAAGACGAGUGUCUUGCCAAAGCAUGGAAGACCGUUAGCCUUGACCCGGUCACCGGUGCGAACCAGAACGCCGACACGUACUGGACGCGUAUCAAGCCGGCGUUCGAUGAGCGCAAGCUGGUCGACCCCUACUUCGCCAUCAUCCACAUGCAAGGCAGCGCAAAGGCCAUGUCGAACCAUUGGGCGAUCAUCCAAACGGUCUGCAACAAAUGGCAUGGGAUCGUUGAGGAGAUCGCGACUUGCCAGGAAAGCGGCGCCAACGUCGAGGGUCAGGUAUGCACAGCCGCCGGCUCUCGCUUCUUUCCGACGUGUACGUCGCCGACACUUGUUCUUUGGCGCAGAUGUUUCGGAUGUUUACCGCGAGGACAGCAAUGACCAAGAGUUCAAGUUCCUCCACGUGUUCACCCGGAUCAAGAAGUGCGAGAAGUGGACGGAUGUCCGGCGCACCCUCGCCAAGGCCAAGGAGACGUACAAGCCGGACGCGCCCACCCCGGGGACGACGGAUGGGCGCCCUGACGGCAACAAAAGAGCCAUGACGCCACACCGGCUGCAAUCGUCGAUCAAGCAGUGCAUCACCGACGCCAAGAACCACGCCGCCAACAGGGAGGAGAAAUCCGAGACGCUGUGGUCGGCGUUGAUGACAAACAGCGUCGUCAAGCUCGACCUACUCCGGACCAAUGCCGCUGCGAAGAAGAGGAACACCGACCUGGCGUUCUUGAUGGGAGCGGACAUGUCGACGAUGGACGAGCAGGUCAAGGUGUGGUACUUGGCGGAGCACGACCUCAUCUUGAACCAGAUGCCUUCGACUACCGCGCCUACGUCUACUCCCACGCCGACCCCAACACCGACGCCCAGCCCGAGCACAUAA